rnacentral:tRNA from 1 species
CAGAGAAUAGUUUAAAUAAAAUUUUAGUUUUGGAGAUUAAAGAUGAGAAGUUAUUCUUUUCUCUGA